rnacentral:rRNA from 1 species
UACGUAGGGAGCAAGCGUUGUCCGGAAUCAUUGGGCGUAAAGCGCGCGUAGGCGGCCCUGUAAGUCCGUUGUGAAAGUCAAAGGCUCAACCUUUGAAAGCCGAUGGAUACUGCAGGGCUAGAGUCCGGAAGAGGCGAGUGGAAUUCCUGGUGUAGUGGUGAAAUGCGUAGAGAUCCGGAGGAACACCAGUGGCGAAGGCGACACGCUGGGUCAUACCUGACGCUAAAACGCGACAGCAUGGGGAGCGAACGGG